rnacentral:pre_miRNA from 1 species
UUACGAAUAACAGGGCUUUCUCCUUCGGCAAAGAAGAUGUAUAGCCAAGCUAAGCAGUGUUGUUUUUUCUUUGCCAAAGGAGAAUUGCUCUGUCAUUCACUC